rnacentral:lncRNA from 1 species
UUUGUCUGGAUUCAAAAUAUUUCUAUUUGAGAUCAUUUCAGCAAGAGUAAUGUAGUUUAUGCAUCAUUUUGUAUUUGUAAAUUCAGAUCUGUAUUUUGUUUUGAUAGAAAUUUUUUUCUUAUUUUUUUCAAGGGAAUAAACUAAUUGUUUAUUAUAAAGGUGUCUUUGCUAUUGAUUAAGCUGCAUUUUUAGUAAAUACAAAUCAUAAUCUGAAAUGGAUUCUAUUAUUACUUUUUUAUAAUCUUAAACUUAUUUUUUUUUGGUUUGUAUGUGAUAAUAACAAUUCAAUAAAAAAAUUAUUGGCAGCUUGCCUAUUUUUUUAUGUAUUUUUUCUGGAUAUUUUAUACCUCAUUUGCUGAAUACUCUGCGCCAAAGCGCAAUUACAUUGUC